rnacentral:rRNA from 1 species
UACAGAGGGGGCAAGCGUUAUUCGGAAUUAUUGGGCGUAAAGGGCGCGUAGGCGGCUUUGCAAGUGACGGGUGAAAUCCCACGGCUUAACCGUGGAACUGCCUGUCAGACUGCAUGGCUUGAGACGAGGAGAGGUGAGUGGAAUUCCCAGUGUAGCGGUGAAAUGCGUAGAUAUUGGGAGGAACACCAGUGGCGAAGGCGGCUCACUGGACUGGUACUGACGCUGAGGCGCGAAAGCGUGGGGAGCAAACAGG